rnacentral:lncRNA from 1 species
UGGUUGAUGCUAGUAAGUUUGAUGGUCAUUUGUCGAUUUAGGUGAAACUCAUUUAACACGCACGAAUAACUGUCACGCGUUUAUACUAGUAAAUUUGAUUGUCUUUCCCGUGGUACAAUUGGAUGUAUCUCUGCCCACAAAUCACGGCACCUGACCAUUUGGCCCUUUCGAAUCGACAAACUGUUCCUCUCCUCUGUGAGAGUUUCUUUAUCUCUGCUGUGAGAGUGCUUCUGUGAGACUUUCUUCCAGACUCUUCGGUGGCACCGACCUUAGCUUCGGUUGGGGUCGGGUGAUGCGUCCUCUUCUCCCCUUUCUCAUUCUUUUCUCCCUGCAUCUACUGUUGGUUCUCCCCCAAUUUUCAAUUUGGCCUAUCUAAUUCCUUCAACUUUGUGGGUUUUCUUCUUCCUGAUUCUUCCUUACUUCGUUUUUCAACCAUAUCCUCUGUCGAGUUCGUGUGUAGAGUUCCGGUGCUUGCACCGGCUCAGGUGUUUUCCACACCACCACGUUCUCCUUUAUGUCUGCCGCUUGCGGUAGUGUUGCUCGGGACUUGUUUUGAGCUUCCACAUGGUGAUUGGCCUCUUUCGCUUGGAUGCUGAUUACCCCUAACUUAUGGCUGUGCGCAGGAGAUGUCAGUGAAGGAGAUGAUCGACGGUGGUUGAAGAAACGGCUGGCUGGCAGUUCCUUGGACCAUUGUGGAGAAAGCAGUGGGUGCUUCUCGGAUGUUCUUUGGUUUUGGGCUUUUGAGCUCAUUCUCUGUUUCUGUUGUUUUUUCUUUUUGUUUAGGCCCUUUUUGGUUGUUUAUAAGUGUUGUUGGG